rnacentral:rRNA from 1 species
AUGAACGCUGGCGGCGUGCCUAAUACAUGCAAGUCGAGCGAACAGACGAGGGGCUUGCUCCUCUGACGUUAGCGGCGGACGGGUGAGUAACACGUGGAUAACCUACCUAUAAGACUGGGAUAACUUCGGGAAACCGGAGCUAAUACCGGAUAAUAUAUUGAACCGCAUGGUUCAAUAGUGAAAGACGGUUUUGCUGUCACUUAUAGAUGGAUCCGCGCCGCAUUAGCUAGUUGGUAAGGUAACGGCUUACCAAGGCAACGAUGCGUAGCCGACCUGAGAGGGUGAUCGGCCACACUGGAACUGAGACACGGUCCAGACUCCUACGGGAGGCAGCAGUAGGGAAUCUUCCGCAAUGGGCGAAAGCCUGACGGAGCAACGCCGCGUGAGUGAUGAAGGUCUUCGGAUCGUAAAACUCUGUUAUUAGGGAAGAACAAAUGUGUAAGUAACUAUGCACGUCUUGACGGUACCUAAUCAGAAAGCCACGGCUAACUACGUG